AGCCUGCCCAGUGACAAAGUUCAACGGCCACGGUACCCUAACCGUGCGAAGGUAGCAUAAUCACUUGUUCUUUAAAUAAGGACUAGUAUCAACGGCAUCACGAGGGUUGCACUGUCUCCCUCCCCUAAUCAGUGAAACUGAUCUCCCCGUGAAGAAGCGGGGAUACAACUAUAAGACGAGAAGACCCCAUGGAGCUUUAAACCCACAGCAACUCAGUUACAUAAUUCCUUAUAAACUUAAGAGUUAUGCACAAAGGUUUUAGGUUGGGGUGACCACGGAGUAAAAAACAACCUCCAUGACGAAAAGAACUAAAUCUUUAUCUAAGAGCUACAACUCUCAGAAUUAGUACACUAACGAACAAUGAUCCGAUAUUCGAUCAACGAACCAAGUUACCCUGGGGAUAACAGCGCAAUCUACUUCAAGAGCCCAUAUCUACAAGUAGNCUUACGACCUCCAUGUUGGAUCAGGGUAUCCAAGUGGUGCAGCCGCUACUAA
rnacentral:rRNA from 1 species